AGAUUGGAGGAGGCGGUGAGAGGAGAGGAGUGGAGAAGUGGUUUUUAUAUCUUCCUAGGGUUAGGGUUGCAAUCAGAGCCAUCGGAUCGGUGAUCAACGGUCAAAAAUAGUUGGGCCAUUUGGGCUGAAACAGGCCUGUUUUCUUCCCGGCAAAGCAGCUGCUGCACCUCUUGGCAUGCCAUCACAUGCAGAUAACCACAACAGAGGCUCCACCGUAAAGACGGGCAGUCCAAAGACUUGGAAUUAUGCUUGGGCUGGUAUCCGACCUGACAAUUGGUUAUUGGAGAGAUUUAAGGAGCUGAGAAAUGUCAAGCUAUAGAGGCUGGUCGGAAUAUGGCCCAAAAGUUCAUUGCAAGAGAAAUCCAGGGACUCCAGGGCAUUCAUAUUGCCAAGCUUAUUUGGGAUACUGCCAGAUAGAUUAUUUCUCGAUAAAUUUAGGAACUGGAGUCCCUUAAGGUUUGUUAACUCUGCAGGUAUCCCAUCAGACAAAAUGUUGCUUGAUAAAUCAAUACCUGUCAGAAGUGGAAUUGUUCUUUCAAAUGUAUAAGGUCUGCUCUUCCAAACUAGUUCUAUUCUGUUAGAAUAUGGCGACAAAAAGUAAUUUGAAUAUGUGAACAAAAUAUAUGUUAAU